UUGGUACUGUAUAACUACUUCACUAAUUUGGCGUUCUUCUGACGGAUAUAUUGGUGUUGAUGGGUGUAACUCUGGAAUAUGUUUGAGAUACAACGCUUAGUCUUCUUCUUACACAAACUGUUGUGUCUUAUGCGAACGAUUGCAAAAACUGAAAGGGUCAUCUGCCUGACGGACCUUCUUGCAUUUUAUUAUAAAACUGACACAUCAUGUUCAUUUACGAAAGAGUUGUUCAUGAGGAACUUUAAAG